rnacentral:rRNA from 1 species
CCCUUAGAUGUCCUGGGCUGCACGCGCGCUACACUGAUGUGUCCAGUAAGCACCUAACCUCUUCCGAAAGGAACGGGUAACCUUUGCAAAGCACAUCGUGAUGGGGGUAGAUUAUUGCAAUUAUUAGUCUUGAACGAGGAAUUCCUAGUAAGCACAAGUCAUCAGCUUGUGUUGAUUACGUCCCUGCCCUUUGUACACACCGCCCGUCGCUCUUACCGAUUGAAUGUUCCGGUGAGCUCUUCGGACUGCGCGGUCUGCAGUUUCUGCGUUCCGUGCGGAAAGUUGCGCAAACCUUAACAUUUAGAGGAAGGAGAAGUCGUAACA